AAGCGGUGGAUGAUGUGGUUUAAUUCGAUGCAACGACGAAAACCUUACCACCUUUGACAUGGCAGGAAUCCUUUAGAGAUAGAGGAGUGCUCGAAAGAGAACCUGCACACAGGUGCUGCAUGGCUGUCGUCAGCUCGUGUCGUGAGAUGUUGGGUUAAGUCCCGCAACGAGCGCAACCCUUGCCAUCAGUUGCUACGAAAGGGCACUCUGAUGGGACUGCCGGUGACAAACCGGAGGAAGGUGGGGAUGACGUCAAGUCCUCAUGGCCCUUAUAGGUGGGGCUACACACGUCAUACAAUGGCCGGUACAAAGGGCAGCAAACCCGCGAGGGGGAGCCAAUCCAUCAAAGCCGGUCGUAGUCCGGAUCGCAGUCUGCAACUCGACUGCGUGAAGUCGGAAUCGCUAGUAAUCGUGGAUCAGCAUGUCACGGUGAAUACGUUCCCGGGUCUU
rnacentral:rRNA from 1 species